GAAGAUCAUGUUUGCUUGGGCGUACGCUCGAGCAAACACUGGGUUUGAGAUUGCACCGAGGUGCGGGCGAUUCCGCUCGAAGCCUCGGUCUCCUAUGGCUUAUGGUUUCGAAUCGAGCGAUCGAGGAAGAGCCGUCAAGGCUAUAGGGUCAAGCGAACAAGUGCAUGUGGUGGAUGCCUUGGCGAUUACAGGCGAUGAAGGACGUGGCAGCCUGCGAAAAGCCUCGGGGAGCUGGCAAACGAGCUUUGAUCCGAGGAUGUCCGAAUGGGGAAACCCGG
rnacentral:misc_RNA from 1 species